CCAGAUGGCCGGAUGGCCGCCUCUCGGCAAUGGGGAAACCCGCCGGGGGGAGGAAAGUCCGGGCUCCACGGAAACACGGUGCCGGGUAACACCCGGCGGGGGCGACCCCAGGGAAAGUGCCACAGAAAGCAAACCGCCUGUUCCUUCCCCCGGGGAAGAAAUCGGCAAGGGUGAAAGGGUGCGGUAAGAGCGCACCGCGCGCGCCGGUAACGGCCGCGGCACGGUAAACCCCACCGGGAGCAAGCCCGAAUAGGGACGGCAGGCCAAGCCAACGCGUUUCCGCGUCGCCGUCCGGGUAGGGUGCAAGAGGCGUCCGGUAACGGGCGUCCCAGAUGAAUGGCUAUCCCCCCUUUGGGGGACAGAACCCGGCUUACAGGUCAUCUGGCAUU
rnacentral:RNase_P_RNA from 1 species